rnacentral:rRNA from 1 species
UACGUAGGGUGCGAGCGUUGUCCGGAAUUAUUGGGCGUAAAGAGCUCGUAGGCGGUCUGUCGCGUCGGUCGUGAAAACUUGGGGCUUAACCCUGAGCUUGCGGUCGAUACGGGCAGACUGGAGUACUGUAGGGGAGACUGGAAUACUUGGUGUAGCAGUGAAAUGCGUAGAUAUCAAGUGGAACACCAGUGGCGAAGGCGAGUCCCUGGACGACUCCUGACACUGAGGCACGAAAGCUAGGGGAGCAAACAGG